rnacentral:rRNA from 1 species
UGGGGAAUCUUGCGCAAUGGCCGAAAGGCUGACGCAGCGACGCCGCGUGUGGGAGGAAGCUCUUCGGGGUGUAAACCACUGUUGCCCGGGACGAAUGAUGAGCAUUUGCUCAUUUGACGGUACCGGGUGAGGAAGCACCGGCUAACUCCGUGCCAGCAGCCGCGGUAAGACGGAGGGUGCAAGCGUUGUUCGGAAUUACUGGGCGUAAAGCGUACGUAGGCGGCGGAUUAAGUCGAAUGUUAAAGCCUGGGGCUCAACCCCAGAGAUGCACUCGAUACUGGUCUGCUAGAGGGUGAUAGAGGAAAGUGGAAUUCCCAGUGUAGCGGUGAAAUGCGUAGAUAUUGGGAGGAACAUCAGUAGCGAAGGCGACUUUCUGGGUCACACCUGACGCUGAGGUACGAAAGCGUGGGGAGCAAAC